UCGAUGUCGUUCUUAUGUCGU
ensembl:piRNA 21ur-3960 ncRNA